rnacentral:rRNA from 1 species
AACGAACGCUGGCGGCAGGCUUAACACAUGCAAGUCGAACGCCCCGCAAGGGUAGUGGCAGACGGGUGAGUAACACGUGGGAAUCUACCCAUCCCUACGGAACAACUCCGGGAAACUGGAGCUAAUACCGUAUACGCCCUUUUGGGGAAAGAUUUAUCGGGGAUGGAUGAGCCCGCGUCGGAUUAGCUAGUUGGUGGGGUAAAGGCCUACCAAGGCGACGAUCCGUAGCUGGUCUGAGAGGAUGAUCAGCCACACUGGGACUGAGACACGGCCCAGACUCCUACGGGAGGCAGCAGUGGGGAAUAUUGGACAAUGGGCGCAAGCCUGAUCCAGCCAUGCCGCGUGAGUGAUGAAGGCCUUAGGGUUGUAAAGCUCUUUCGCCAGGGACGAUAAUGACGGUACCUGGAUAAGAAGCCCCGGCUAACUUCGUGCCAGCCGCCGCCGUAAGAC